UUCUCCACCCUUUGUCUCAUCGCCACUCGUGUCUCGUCUCUCUCCAUCACUCGUCACAUUCUCGACCUCUCUGCUCAUCUCUUCUGCUCUCUGGUAUUUGGAUCUUUCUCUUCAGCUGGAGUCUCUGCACAACCAAAUUGUGCCCGAUGUAUCAGCGAGGCAUUCAGCAUCCUGGACCAGCCACAAUCUAAUAACCCACUUGGCAGUCACGUACAGGUGCUGGGCAACGGGAAGCACGCUAACAGCAGCCCGGAUAACAGCAGCCCGGAUAACAGCAUCCCGGAUAACAGCAUCCCUCUCAAGCAAGAGGAUUCUCCGAGGAAGGCCAGAGGCAGCAGAGAGAAGAUAAAAAAGAAGAAGAAGGAAAAAACCCAACAACUUGCAACACAUCCGCAUCCCUGUCUGCGGCUGUGGCGCCUGCCUCGGCUGCUGCUUGGAUGCGUCUAAGAUGGCACCUUGGUGCCCUGCCACAUUCUGUCUCCUUGGUACCGAAGCGGCGCUCAGCUUCUUGUCACUGAGUGGAUGAUGAUUAUCUGCACCAGGGUCUCAAGGGUGCUCCAGCUUUGCUGGCGAUUGGAGCUGAGAUGCUUCAGCUGAAGGAUUUUAAAAGCUAUACAAGGCCAAAGAACCAUUACCAGUCA